AAAGCACUAUGAAAAGAGAGUUCACAAGUGCGUGAAAAUGCACACUGCAAAGCGAAUGACUGAACAUCAUAAGUGCAAUUUGCCAUGCGUCUAGCACCAGGCACGUGAGAGAAGGCGGUGUUAUGUUCUCUCACGAGGCGCCUCGGUGCAAAGGUGUGCAUCUGAUUGUGUCUUGGGCUGCUCGCCGGGUCGGCAGGAAUGAUGGCCGCUGUCGAACGGGGGUCCUGUAAAGGACUCUUUGUACUAGCGGCGUGCGCAGUGGCUAAUUGCACACUCUUGUGUGCUUCGAUUGUGUAUCAGGCCAGCCCGGUUGCAAAGAGGCCUAACCUUGAUCGCCUUUCUUUGAGUUAUGGCAGCACCUGCUAUGGUUGGUGGUGCCGGUCAUGUGGAUGUAUUGACGCUGGGGCGGCAAUUAUGGAAGGCAGCCAAUGGCGUGUGCAGCAUUCGAACCGUCUUGAAACACGGACUAAGGAGUUCAACUUAAACGCGAGUCGUUUUUCGCUGAGAAUAUUAAAGGCAAAGUGAAAUCGACUCUGUAUCUGAGAGAUGUUAACUGAUGGGUAUGAUGAGUACUUUUAAUGGUAAGCACGCGUGAUGAGUAGCACAAUCGUCAUUGUUGCUGACUGCGCCUGAGCGUUCAGGUUGAGACCCGAAAGAUGGUGAACUAUGCCUGAGUAGAACGAAGCCAGGAGAAAUUCUGGUGGAAGUUCGUAGCGGUUUUGACGUGCAAAUCAAUCGCAAAACUUUGGUAUAGGGGCGAAAGACUAAUCGAACCAUCUAGUAGCUGGUUCCCUCCGAAGUUUCCCUCAGGAAAGCUGGCGUGUACGUGAUAGUUUUACCUGGUAAAGCUAAUGACUGGAGGAAUCGGAGCUGUUAUAUCUUUGACCUACUCUCAAACUUAAAACGGAUAAGAACUUACUCGCUUCUUCAGUGAGCGGUAAGACCGAAUAGAAAGCGCCAAGUGGGCCAUUUUUGGUAAGCAGAACUGGCGCUGUGGGAUGAACUGAACGGCGAGCUAAGGUGCCAGACGCACUUCUCAAGAGACACCAUGAAAGGUGUUAGUUGAUAUUGACAGCAGGACGGUGGCCAUGGAAGUCGGCAUCUGCUAAGGAGUGUGUAACUACUCACCUGCCGAAUCAACUAGCCCUGAAAAUGGAUGGCGCUAUAGACGUGGACCUAUGCUCGCCCAUUGAGAUUUCCUGUGUGCCCGUGCGCAGGUUGAAAAACAGCUCUCAAUGUGUAGGAGGGCAAAGACGUUAACUUUGAAGCGUACAAUGUGAAUUGGCGUGAAGUUGGC
rnacentral:rRNA from 1 species